UUUUCGGUGCCGGAGCAUAUUUUAUGCGGUCCGGAGAAUAGGGAAACAGGUGAAAGUCCUGUACGAUCUCGUCACUGUGAAGAACGAAUAAUUAUUUUCUUAUGCCACUGUGUUUUACAUGGGAAGGUGAAAAUAAUUGUUCAAGUCAGGAGACCUGCCGAGAAUAU
rnacentral:ncRNA from 1 species